rnacentral:rRNA from 1 species
UACGUAGGGGGCAAGCGUUGUCCGGAAUCAUUGGGCGUAAAGGGUGCGUAGGCGGCGCGGUAAGUCGGGUGUGAAAUCUCGGAGCUUAACUCCGAAACUGCAUUCGAUACUGCCGUGCUUGAGGACUGGAGAGGAGACUGGAAUUUACGGUGUAGCGGUGAAAUGCGUAGAUAUCGUAAGGAAGACCAGUGGCGAAGGCGGGUCUCUGGACAGUUCCUGACGCUGAGGCACGAAGGCUAGGGGGAGCAAACGGG